rnacentral:misc_RNA from 1 species
AAGUCGUAACAAGGUUUCCGUAGGUGAACCUGCGGAAGGAUCAUUAGUGAUUUAAAAAGUUUUUUCUUUUAUAUAAAUAAAAGAUUAACUUUUAUCUUCUAUACUAUUAAACCACUGUUUAAAAAUGUUAUAAGAAUGUUAUGUAAUUUAUAAAAUUACAGAAAGCUUUAUAUUAUAUUAAAACUUUCAGCAACGGAUCUCUUGGUUCAG